UUAAGCAAAGAAGAGCGCAGGGUGGAUGCCUUGGCACUGAGAGCCGAAGAAAGACGUAAUAAGUUGCGAAAAGCUGUGGUUAGGAGCAAAUAUCCAAUGAGCCACAGAUAUCUGAAUGCGGAAACGCGGCCGGACAAACUCCGGUCAUCACAUGGUGAAUAAAAUAGUCAUGUGAGGGGAACCUCCUGAACUGAAACAUCUAAGUAGGGAGAGGAAGAGAAAGAAAACUCGAUUUCCUAAGUAGCGGCGAGCGAACGGGAAAGAGCCCAAACCGACAUGCCUGGCAUGACGGGGUUCGGACUGACACAACGUUAAGAUAGGACAGGAGAAUGGAAUGGAAAGUCCAUCCAAAGAGCGUGAGAGACGCGUAUCCGAAGUCUGAAGAUUAAUAGUCAGUAUCCAGAGUACCACGAGACACGAGAAACCUGGUGGGAAAGAGCGGAGACCACUCCGUAAGGCUAAAUACUACUCAGUGACCGAUAGAGCAUAGUACUGUGAAGGAAAGGUGAAAAGAACCCCGGGAGGGGAGUGAAAGAGAACCUGAAACCCUGUGUUUACAAGCUGUCGAAGGACAUUAAUAGUCCGACGGCGUACUUUUUGUAGAACGGUCCGGCGAGUUGCCGGUGCAGGCAAGGUUAAGUGCCGGGAGGCAUGGAGCCGAAGUGAAAGCAAGCGUCAAAUGCGCGUCAAGUCUGUAUCGGCAGACCCGAAACCGGGUGAUCUACCCAUGGCCAGGAUGAAGUUACCGUAAAAGGUGAUGGAGGUCCGAACACACAUCUGUUGAAAAAGGUGGUGAUGAGCUGUGGGUAGGGGAGAAAUUCCAAUCGAACCCGGAGAUAGCUGGUUCUCCUCGAAAUAGCUUUAGGGCUAGCCUUGGACGAGUCUUACGGAGGUAGAGCACUGAAUAACCGCGGGGGCGUCACAGCCUACCAAAGUUUAUCAAACUGCGAAUGCCGUGUAGAUGUUGUCCAGGAGUCAGACUGGUCGAGAUAAGUUGGUCAGUCAAAAGGGAAAGAGCCCAGAUCUACAGCUAAGGUCCCAAAGUACAUGUUAAGUGGAAAAGGAUGUGGGAUUUCAUAAACAACUAGGAUGUUGGCUCAGAAGCAGCCAUACAUUUAAAGAGUGCGUAAUAGCUCACUAGUCGAGAGGUUCUGCGCCGAAAAUUUCCGGGGCUAAAACAUGGCACCGAAGCUUAGGAAUGUAGAGAUACAUUGGUAGAGGAGCAUUGCAUGAUCGUAGAAGCUGUACCGAUAAGGAGCAGUGGAGAUCAUGGAAGAGAGAAUGCCGGAAUGAGUAGCGAGAUUUAAGUAAGAAUCUUAAAGACCGAAUAUCCAAGGUUUCCAGGGUAAAGCUGAUCUUCCCUGGGUAAGUCGGGGCCUAAGGCGAGGGCGAAAGCCGUAGUCGAUGGACAACAGGUUGAAAUUCCUGUACUACAAGAUAACAGAACUGUGGGGACGCAGAACAGAAGUCAGAUCCGGGAAUGGAAAAACCGGAACAAGCGUCGAGGAAGGAGCAUAGGCAAAUCCGUGCUUCAAUUCCGGAGCGUGAUGUGGAGCGAAAUCAAGUAGCGAAGCUGACAUAUGGGCUGCCGAGAAAAGCCACUAUUGUUUAUCAUGUACCCGUACCGUAAACCGACACAGGUGGGUGAGGAGAGAAUCCUAAGGUCGACGGGAGAAGUGUUGUUAAGGAACUCGGCAAAACAACCCCGUAACUUCGGGAGAAGGGGUGCUGCCCUCAGGGGCAGCCGCAGAGAAAUGGCCCAAGCAACUGUUUAGCAAAAACAUAGGUCUAUGCGAAACCGAAAGGUGAAGUAUAUGGGCUGACGCCUGCCCGGUGCUGGAAGGUUAAGAGGAGAGGUUAGCGUAAGCGAAGCUUUGAAUUCAAGCCCCAGUAAACGGCGGCCGUAACUAUAACGGUCCUAAGGUAGCGAAAUUCCUUGUCGGGUAAGUUCCGACCCGCACGAAAGGCGUAAUGAUUUGGGCACUGUCUCGACAACACACCCGGUGAAAUUGAAAUACCAGUGAAGAUGCUGGUUACCUGCGCCAGGACGGAAAGACCCCAUGGAGCUUUACUCCAGCUUGAUACUGGGAUUCGGUACCAUCUGCACAGGAUAGGUGGGAGGCGAAGAAGAUAAUACUUAGGUAAUAUCAGAGCCGCUGUUGGGAUACCACCCUUAUGGUACUGAAUUUCUAACCCAUAGCCGUAAACCGGCGUGGGGACAAUGUCUGGCGGGGAGUUUGACUGGGGCGGUCGCCUCCGAAAGAGUAUCGGAGGCGCUCAAAGGUUCCCUCAGAAUGGUUGGAAACCAUUCGAAGAGUGCAAAGGCAGAAGGGAGCUUGACUGCGACACCGACGGGUGGAGCAGGU
rnacentral:rRNA from 1 species